rnacentral:rRNA from 1 species
UACAGAGGUCUCAAGCGUUGUUCGGAUUCAUUGGGCGUAAAGGGUGCGUAGGCGGCCUAUUAAGUCAGGGGUGAAAGACGGUAGCUUAACUAUCGCAGUGCCUUUGAUACUGAUGGGCUUGAAUGUACUUGAGGUAGGCGGAAUGUGACAAGUAGCGGUGAAAUGCAUAGAUAUGUCACAGAACACCAAUUGCGAAGGCAGCUCACUAAAGUAUGAUUGACGCUGAGGCACGAAAGCGUGGGGAUCAAACAGG